rnacentral:rRNA from 1 species
CCUACGGGAGGCAGCAGUAAGGAAUAUUGGUCAAUGGACGCAAGUCUGAACCAGCCAUGCCGCGUGAAGGAUGAAUGCCCUCUGGGUUGUAAACUUCUUUUAUAGGGGACGAAAAAGGGUCUUUUUAGAUCAACUGACGGUACCCUAGGAAUAAGCACCGGCUAACUCCGUGCCAGCAGCCGCGGUAAUACGGAGGGUGCAAGCGUUAUCCGGAUUUACUGGGUUUAAAGGGUGCGUAGGUGGGUUGGUAAGUCAGCGGUGAAAUCUUCGAGCUUAACUCGGAAACUGCCAUUGAUACUAUCAGCCUUGAAUAUCCUGGAGGUGAGCGGAAUAUGUCAUGUAGCGGUGAAAUGCUUAGAUAUGACAUAGAACACCAAUUGCGAAGGCAGCUCACUACGGGAUUAUUGACACUGAGGCACGAAAGCGUGGGGAUCAAACAGGAUUAGAUACCCUGGUAGUCCACGCCCUAACGAUGGAUACUCGACAUUUGCGAUAUACAGUAAGUGUCUGNGNGAAGANAUAUAUACCACAGAGAGAGCGCGAGAGUAGAACGACAAUAGAAGUAGACGACGNGAGACGUACGACGACGGACGACGACGAGGGGAGGAGG